AAAAGAUCUUUCAGUGCCGUUAUCCCUCCAUAGGAAGGGCCUUUCUGUCUCACACACUCGGUGACACAAGAGGGAAGAGGAUUAUAGUUCAGAAGGCUUGGUAGAACCUCCCUUUCCUGAGUUCAGAGUGGAUUUGCAGAAUUUCUUCUCCCAGACUGGAAGAAAGACAAAAAAAAAUGAGUUCAUGACUUGCCAUGUGAUGAGGGGACACUGGAAUUUAACAGCUUGAACCAUGUUUCAUUUAUCUUUGUGAUCGAGCUGUAAACAACCCACAUGGAGACACCCGGGCCAUCACGUGGACUCAUAAAACACAGCGAGUAACACUGGUGAGGAAACCUGCACAGUGCUCUCAGACCAAAUUCCUGCUUAUCUUCCUCUGAAGAUAAGAGUCAAAUUAAGCUGCUUCUUCUGCUAAAAAAUGGCACCAUGGGAGGCAGAAAGGCUCAAUAUUCCCUGGGGGCUCCAGCUAUGAGUUAGUGCUUUCCAAACCCUUCACGUGUUGGCUGAAAUGAAGCCAAGGUUUCUUCACCACUGCUAUCAUAUCAGUUUUAAUCAGAGUCCAGCAUCUGAAGUACAAGGAUUUGUUUUCAAAUUAAUCACAUAUUGCAUCUCUUUGAUCAGAAAUUUUUACUGCCACUCGUUUAUUGGGUCCUCAGGAGAUGCAUUUGGAAGUUUAAAGAGUUCAAAAUCAAGAGUUUCAGAGUUCUCUCCCAAAACCUAGAACUUCUCAUUGUUAGGCUUGUCUCGAGCUAAGAAAAGAUAGAAGCCCUUUUAAUUUAUUUUGGGAAAAAAGUUAUGACUUUUCCCUCAAGAACACCAUUCUGAUCUGCACUCGCAGGAGAACUGUUGGUAGCAAGCUUGGGAUACAGCAGAAGAGCUGCCUAAAACAGAAGCAAAGUUUCUUUAGUUUUGAACUUUUUGUGCGUUCUGGUCUUUUCCUUGUAGCUUUUCAGAGAUAAUGAAUGAAAAAUUGGCGCCUUGUCCUCAGAGGUGACAUGACCUCAGCUGCAUUUACCAAUACUUGGCACCUGUAGGCUCCCAUGGAACAGAAGACAUUUCCAAGACCAGUAGGACAGGACCAUACCCAUGUACAUCUAUCCUAUUUCUGUUACUAUUAGCACCAGACAGCAGGAGGAUGGACUGGGCACAGGGUAUUGCUUUACAAAAGUCCUGCUGGUACAAAGCACCAACAGCUUUUCCCCUGCAAAAUUAGUGCUGAGCUUUGCUCUCCCAAGGCUGGUUCCUAUCAUUCCCAAUGACCUGUGCUGGAGCAGCAGAUUUUGUGACAGAGACAGUUGGAGCUGCCUGAAUUGUUUCUUUGAAUUAUUUUUUUAAAUUAUUCCUUCUCCCAGCCCUUCCUCCCAUCCUAACUCCACCUGUGGAGUCUCAUUGUCAGCUGUUGGGAAUGCUGCACACAUUAAUGGCCAAUAUUCCUGCUGCGGGCAGAAAUAGGCAGCUGUGCAAGGAGGGACUGGCAGGUUGUGCUGUUUCCUAUACCACCUGUGAGCAGACACCUCACUGCUCAGGCAGUCCUGAGACACAGAGCUGUUUCCAGACAUCUCAAAGGAAGGUAAGAUGAAGAAAGUUCUGAGAAUAUUGUAAUGCAGAACAUAAUUCUUCUCCUUUUACUAGAGAUCCUAAUUUUUUCUCCUUGUCCUUCUGAAAACAGACUAAAGGGAAGCUGAAUGACAAAUGAAAAACUGCCUCUUCCUUUUGGGUGUGUCAGGAAAGACCUCAGGUUGGGAUCAGGGCUCUGCCAUGCCGUGUCUUUGCUAGCAAAGGGUGCAGGGAACAAGGGUACUUCUGGCAGUGCUGAAUCUUUCAACAAGGAAAGGAAAGAAGAUCAAAUGAAGAGCAAAUUCAGCCUUGGGAGAAUGGACAUCCCUAAUCCCUGACAGAAAUAAAUGAGGAUAAUGCAUUUUCCAUGCACUGCUGUGAGACACGGGCUGAACUGGCUGCCACAGCAUUUCUCCAGCAGCCACUGCUCCACAAAUAACAAACCUCAUCCAGGCAGUGUGAGCCACUUUUGGAAACUUACCAGAAGCACAAAAAGACUAUGUUUUCCUCUCCUUCUACCCAGUCAACCCUCCUGCUGGACACAACAGCUCUGCACACCCACAAACAAAUAUAUGCUACUGCUAAGAUAAUGUAUCAUUGAAUUCCAAUAACCAGACAUCCACAGCAUCAGAAGAGCAGCUCACCAUGAACUGGUGUUUUGCACUGACCACUUAAAAUGCAAUAAAGGGUACUGAAUCCCAGGAGCUCAGGGGAAAAAAACCCCAAAGGUACCAUGUUAGUAGAUGAACUCAAACUUUAAGAGCUUUUCCUAUUAUUUUUCUACUCAUUAAUGAGUAGAUUCAGUCUGUAUAGAAAUGACUUCUUUCCUAAGUGCUAAACUCUGCACUGGACCCUGCUGUUGAUAGAGGACUUUGAAGAAAUCUGUUUUCUCUCCCUGUUCCUUUGCCUACAGAACAUGAAUUUGAUCCCAAGACUAAUUCUCAUGUUGAAAAGAAGUUCUUCACAUUUCUCAGCAUUGUUUGAGAGUGAAGAACGCACUGAGAAGGGCUGCCCCUGUCUUCAGGGUGAGGUUCCUAAAUUAUAAUCAGGAGAAGAAAGACUUUGCCACUAAAGAGUGUAAAGUGUAAGUAAUGAAAUAGAGGAAGGAAUCAAGGUGGGAGAGCCAAUUCUUGGAGAUUCCAUAAUAAUAAUAAUUUAUUCAUUACUGGAGAUAAGCCACACUGAAGGUGUUUGUAGACGUGAAUUUUGACUAAUAUUUCUAAAAACUCUUCACCAUCCUCAUUUUACUUGUAUUGAAGAGAGGGGGAUGCAGGAACCACAGAGCUGUAAGGACUGAGUAGGAUCCAAGCAGUUACAUGCAUAAAUGCAAAAAAAAAAGUCUUCUAAUCUAGAGAGAGUUACAGAUCCUAUAGCUUUCCCCUGCUACUUCUGGCCUCAUGGACAGUACAAAUUAGCAGUUAAUGGAAUUGUUACUGCAGCACCUGUGGAACGUGCAGUGUGCCACUGGAGAGAAUUUCCAAAUGAAAUUAUGUACUUUGGCUCUAUAACCAAAUAAAUUUCACAGGCUUCAGGCCCUCCUGUAAUGCACAAGAAAAUCCCACUUACUGAAUUUUCUUGCAAACCACCCUAUUUCUGGAACCAGAAUCUUAUUUAACUGAGCAAUUACAGAAUGAUAUUAAAGUUCCUCAGAUAAAAAUCAACUAGAAUAAAAUUCUUUAUUGGUGGUGUUUUCCUCCUUCUCUAGGUUUUCUGUUUUCUUGUGAAUUUUAACAGCAGUCAGUACUCAUGAAAAAGUUUUUCAUCAGCACUUAAGCCUCAGUGCUGAAAUCUGAACAGGAAACAUUCUGCAGAGAGAAAACCCCACACGUGCAGAAGCACUGGGGCCUGCCUAAUGCAGCUGGAAAACUCCUGAGGCAAAGGAAAGAGGGAAUCUAAGUGAAAAAUCUGCCUGUGGCAGUAUAUCCCAUUGGAAAAUUCAGGUUUCACAUCUGCCUUGGUUGGCUUAUAAAUAAAAAAAUAAAAACAAUUCAACAGUUUGCCAUCCUAGUUUUACCCAGUUGCUUGUGUUAAAAAUUUAGCAGCAUUAAUAGAGAGGUUUUUUGACUGCUGAAGAAAACAUCUUUCCCAUGAUUUACACUGGUGUACACUCAGAUAAGAACUCUGAACAUAGUCCAUGUUUGCGGCAAAGAGAAAAAUAUAAGUGCUUUAAAUCAAAGCACAGGAUUGCCGUGCUUUGAUUUAAAAUUCAUAUAUAAAUGGAUUAUUGAUUUAUGAAAGCCCUAGACAAGAUGCAGCAUGACCCUGUGCAGAAUUGCUCCUAGGCCUCAGUGGUGAGCUCCUGAUUACAAUGGUUCCCAUGUUGCAUCCAAUUUCAGUGCAAUUUUGAGUGUGGCCUUCCAAGAAAAAUCAUCAUCUCAGCAUGUUAUCCUGAAAUACAUCUUAAUAAAUCACAGCCAGUAUUGAGACUAAAGGGGAGGAAGAGAAAACUUCUCACCGAAUUGUAACCAGUAGCCUUGAAAAUGAAAUAUUCCUGCUAAAUUCCCAUUAAAUUUUCUCCUGUGAGCAUGCUACAUUGAGUCAUGUAGACAAGGGAGUCAUUGGAGUCAUUGCUUCAGUUAGAUUAAAUAGUUGCAUCAAAUUUGAUUUACGUUCUGAAGAGCUAAAGAAAAUAGCUGUUUUUUUUCAUUAGCCAUACAACGAGUAGAUUUCUCAGCUGGAUGUCCUACAUUUGUCACUCCCCAACAACUUAGUCCUAAUAUAUUGUCCCUUCCUCUUACUUAGAUAUUAUUUCAAUCAUUUAUCAAUUUAAUUAAUAAUUGGUUGAUAAUUGUCCACAUAGUCUCUGUAUGGAGACAGUCAACACUUCCCUGAAAUGUUUUAGGCUUUACCAUAGUCUUGGAGGAUUUGGGUUUUUUCCCCCUCACAAGAAGCAGGAGUAAUUUUUCUGUUACUGUGGAAGUGAAUAAAUGCCCAAAAGUUUAAAAAUGUCCUCUUUUGGCCGCUAAGUGGUUUAUCAAUGCAACAUUUAACACUAUAAUGCAAGAUUUGAGACUACACUUAAUUUUGGGCCCAUCAGACUUAUGGGGACUAGUUAACAUUGGCACCAGAUGGAUUUGGGUCAGGGAAACCUUAGGAAAAGCCAAAGCCUGCAUUCACAGAAAGGUGAAAGGAGCACCUUUUUCUCUUUCCCACUUUUCUUCACUUUAUAACUUUCUCUAGAUUCGUAGGCAGAAGUAUAUAAGUUGUAUAUUCUUUUGUCUCGCCAAAAUCUGUUAACAGAAGUCUACUGUGUGUGUAAAUAUCCUAUCUUUUAAGAUAUACUAUUCAAAAUUUCCAGGAGGUAAAGAAAGGAAAAGAAAAAGGUUGCUUUUCACAAGCAAGGAGUAGAAGACAUAAAAUUAAUUGCCAGCAUUAAGUAGAGGUGAGUCCACAUAAGUAUGAUGGGCCCAACCUUAGGGGUAGGUCACAAUUCUUUCAUUUAGGAUUAAAAAGUUGCAUUGAUAAGCAACUCCAAAUAUACAUAGUUAGGAGGUAAAUUACAAAAAACAAUCAUUGGAAUUUCUAGUUCCUGGGCCAGGACAGAGUCCAGGCUGUCAAAAAGAUUCAUGACACAGCCCAUUCUGGGUUUUACAGGCCCAAAUUGGGUCUAUUAACUUGGAUCCAGAGCCAACAGUCGAGGCCAGGAUAUGUAGGUGGCCUGUUCUGAUGGAAACAUUUUCCCCACAGCUGCCACAUUAACAAUCUGUUCUUGAGUCAGAUAGAAAUAUCCCACCCUCCCUGACCCAUCCAGGCUCCUAGACAGAAUUGCCCUUGGCAUAUUCCUUGCUGCCCACCCUCCCUGAUUCCCUCCGUGUUAUCCAGUGGAAUUCUCAAGAACUGUGAAACUAAGGCUAGGACUCAACGGGAGACAAUUUUGCUGACUAUAGUGAGCUUUUAUAGCCCCAGAAACAAGUCAGGUUAAUGUUUUUUUUCUUUCUCCCUCCCUGGACACGAGCCACUCCAGAGCUUGUAUCUGAAUAUUUUGUUCUCAUGCAUAUUUAUUUACUUAGGAGUGGCAUUCCUACUUUUAUAGCUUUGAGUUUUUAAUUUUCUUGUUAGCAGCAUUAACAAGGUUCAUGGCAUAUAAAAUGAGCUGUGGCAUUUAAAAAAUGUUGGUCUAA